rnacentral:rRNA from 1 species
UACGUAGGGGGCCAGCGUUGUCCGAAGUUACUGGGCGUAAAGAGCGCGUAGGCGGGUCUUUAAGUGAGAGGUGAAAUUCUGAGGCUCAACCUCGGAACUGCCUUUCAUACUGGGGACCUUGAGUGCGGGAGAGGCGAGUGGAAUGGUCGGUGUAGCGGUGAGAUGCGUAGAUAUCGAUCGGAACACCCAUGGCGAAGGCAGCUCGCUGGCCUGCAACUGACGCUGAGGCGCGAAAGCCGGGGGAGCAAACAGG